rnacentral:rRNA from 1 species
UUGGAGGGCAAGUCUGGUGCCAGCAGCCGCGGUAAUUCCAGCUCCAAUAGCGUAUAUUAAAGUUGUUGCAGUUAAAAAGCUCGUAGUUGAAUUUCGGGGUCAGUAGGUUGGUCAUGCCACAGGUAUGUACUGGUCUCACUGAUUCCUCCUUCCUGAUGAACUGUAAUGCCAUUAAUUUGGUGUUGCAGGGAAUCUGGACUGUUACUUUGAAAAAAUUAGAGUGUUUAAAGCAGGCUAACGCCUGAAUACAUUAGCAUGGAAUAAUGAAAUAGGACGUUCGAUCCUAUUUUGUUGGUUUCUAGGAUUGACGUAAUGAUUAAUAGGGAUAGUUGGGGGCAUUAGUAUUCAAUUGUCAGAGGUGAAAUUCUUGGAUUUAUUGAAGACUAACUACUGCGAAAGUAUUUGCCAAGGAUGUUUUCAUUAAUCAAGAACGAAAGUUAGGGGAUCGAAGACGAUCAGAUACCGUCGUAGUCUUAACCAUAAACUAUGCCGACUAGGGAUCGGAUGAUGUUAAUUUUUUAAUGACUCAUUCGGCGCCUUACGGGAAAC